rnacentral:rRNA from 1 species
UGGGGAAUUUUGGACAAUGGGCGCAAGCCUGAUCCAGCCAUGCCGCGUGCGGGAAGAAGGCCUUCGGGUUGUAAACCGCUUUUGUCAGGGAAGAAAUCUUCUGAGUUAAUACCUCGGGAGGAUGACGGUACCUGAAGAAUAAGCACCGGCUAACUACGUGCCAGCAGCCGCGGUAAUACGUAGGGUGCAAGCGUUAAUCGGAAUUACUGGGCGUAAAGCGUGCGCAGGCGGUUUUGUAAGACAGAGGUGAAAUCCCCGGGCUCAACCUGGGAACUGCCUUUGUGACUGCAAGGCUUGAGUGCGGCAGAGGGGGAUGGAAUUCCGCGUGUAGCAGUGAAAUGCGUAGAUAUGCGGAGGAACACCGAUGGCGAAGGCAAUCCCCUGGGCCUGCACUGACGCCCAUGCACGAAAGCGUGGGGAGCAAACAGGAUUAGAUACCCUGGUAGUGCCACGCCCUAAACGAUGUCAACUGGUUGUUGGGAAGGUUCCUUCUCAGUAAACGUAGCUAACGCGUGAAGUUGACCGCCUGGGGAGUACGGCCGCAAGGUUGAAACUCAAA